UGAUGUAUUCACUUUCAGCGC
rnacentral:siRNA from 1 species